AACACAAAGAGUUCUUUUCUUUAUUUUGGAUCAGGAGUGUUUUUUUGGGUGACGUAACCCUAUUAUAUUUUGUUCUUUUUGGGUGUUAUAUAACACAAAGAGUUCUUUUCUUUAUUUUGGAUCAGUGUGUGAUGUCUAUAUUUAUCGCAGCAGAAGCCCUACCUCCCCAACCCACGCCAGCACUCCCACCCCAACCGCCAGCCCCACAACCACAACCGGCUCCUCAUCAACCAAGGCAACGGAGGCGUGCUAGGCCACCAAUUUUUCGAGCCCGUGUCCUACUUUUUGGGAUGCCAGAUGAUGUGGUUGUACGUAGAUACAGGCUGCCACCACAUCUAAUCCUAGACACUCUCUCCAUAAUAGAGAGUGAUCUGGAGUCUGAAAUUCGGUAUCCUACAGCAAUACCACCAUUGACACAAUUCCUUGCUGUGUUACAUUUUUUGGCAACAGGGUCUUACCAGCAUGUGGUGGGAGACCUGGUUGGCAUGUCGCAGGGCCAGUUCAGUAAGGUCCUGCGGCGUGUCUGCCAGGCUUUCCUCAAGCGUGUGAAGCAAUUUAUUGCUAUGCCUUUGGAUGUUGGUGCCCUAGAUGUGGUGAAGCGGCAAUUUGCGGAAGGUGGUAGUCGCUUCCCACAUGUUAUUGGGGUUGUGGAUGGCACACAUGUAGCUCUUCAGCCACCAAAACAUAAUGAAGAAAUUUAUAGAAACAGGAAACUGUUUCAUUCUCUGAAUGUAAUGGUUGUUUGUGGGCCAUCCCUCCAGAUCCUUUCCCUGAACGCCAAGUUUACUGGAAGUUCCCAUGAUGCGUAUGUCAUUAGACAAUCAGGGAUAUGGCACAGAUUAAGAUCAAGUCAACGAGCAGACAUGUGGUUAUUGGGUGAGUUGUUGCACAUAUUUUGAUCAACAUUUUGUAUAUUUUUAAAAAUUGACUAUUUCUAAUUUUUGAUUUUCCUCAAACAGGAGACCGUGGAUAUCCUUGCACCCCCUGGCUCAUGACUCCUUACCGUAAUCCCAGGCCAGGACCACAGACGGCAUUUAACUCCGCGCUUACUGCCACUAGGCAGCUGGUGGAGCGCACAAUUGGGGUCCUUAAAGGGCGGUUUCGUGUGCUCCACCGCACUGGUGGCGACAUCAUGUAUUCGCCGGAGAUGGCAAGUAAAAUAGUGGUCCUGUGCGCUAUACUCCACAAUAUCGCGGUAAGGAGUAGCGUAGAGCUUCCUCAGACAGAGGAAUUGCCUGAUGAGGAGCCAGGGGUUGUCCGACACUUCGGUGGGGGGAGUGUUACAAGGAGGGGGAGCCAAGUCAGGGCAAGCAUUGUUGCUGAAUUUUUCAGCUGAAAGACCACACAAACUGAGGACGACCACAACGGCAAGCACCACAUGAUGCACCAGCUCAGCACCCUUCCCCUUCUCACUCCCCCUCCACUUCCCAGUCCCCCUCCCCUUCUCACUCCCCCUCCCCUUCUCACUCCCCCUCCCCUUCUCACUCCCCCUCAGCUUCCCAAUCCCCCUCAGCUUCCCAAUCCACCUCAGCUUCCCAAUCACCCUCAGCUUCCCAGGCCCCCUCAGCUUCCCAGGACCACUCCACUUUCCACUCCCCUUCUCAGCCAACCUCUCCUUCUCUUUGUGUGACCCCUUCUCCUCCUUCCCAUACCCCUUCUCCUUCUACUUCCAACUCACCUUCUCAGCCCCCCUCACCCUCUAUUGGCCUAACAUUUUCACCGCCCCCCUCGCCCUCUCAAUCAGACCCACCCUCUGAAAUUCCAUCCCCAAUCCAACCUCCUUCCCCCAUCCAGCAUCCUUCCCCCAUCAAGCCUCCUUCCCCCAUCCAGCCUCCUUCCCCAAUCCCUCCUCCUUCCCCCAUCCAGCCGCCUUCCCCACCGAGUGAAUGGGCAGAGGAAGCCCCUGAAGCCAGUUCAGGGAGUCUUCAUGUUGCCGAGGAAAAUGUUGCAGUUGGAGUUCCUCCAAGUUUGGGAGCCAUUCUUUCCACCAUGCGCCAACACCUGCAAGGAUUGAUACAUUGUGUUGAUCAAUUGGAAAAA